rnacentral:rRNA from 1 species
UUUAUGGAGAGUUUGAUCCUGGCUCAGGAUGAACGCUGGCGGCGUGCCUAAUACAUGCAAGUCGAGCGAACGGACGAGAAGCUUGCUUCUCUGAUGUUAGCGGCGGACGGGUGAGUAACACGUGGAUAACCUACCUAUAAGACUGGGAUAACUUCGGGAAACCGGAGCUAAUACCGGAUAAUAUUUUAAACCGCAUGGUUCAAAAGUGAAAGACGGUCUUGCUGUCACUUAUAGAUGGAUCCGCGCUGCAUUAGCUAGUUGGUAAGGUAACGGCUUACCAAGGCAACGAUGCAUAGCCGACCUGAGAGGGUGAUCGGCCACACUGG